GUGGGGAAUAUUGGACAAUGGGCGAAAGCCUGAUCCAGCCAUGCCGCGUGUGUGAAGAAGGUCUUCGGAUUGUAAAGCACUUUAAGUUGGGAGGAAGGGCAGUAAGUUAAUACCUUGCUGUUUUGACGUUACCAACAGAAUAAGCACCGGCUACCUUCGUGCCAGCAGCCGCGGUAAUACGAAGGGUGCAAGCGUUAAUCGGAAUUACUGGGCGUAAAGCGCGCGUAGGUGGUUCAGCAAGUUGAAGGUGAAAUCCCCGGGCUCAACCUGGGAACUGCCUCCAAAACUAGUGAGCUAGAGUACGGUAGAGGGUAGUGGAAUUUCCUGUGUAGCGGUGAAAUGCGUAGAUAUAGGAAGGAACACCAGUGGCGAAGGCGACUACCUGGACUGAUACUGACACUGAGGUGCGAAAGCGUGGGGAGCAAACAGGAUUAGAUACCCGUGUAGUCC
rnacentral:rRNA from 1 species